CCCGUCCCCGUGGCCUCGCCCAGCCCCACCUGCUGUUUCCGUCGCGAGCCCACCUGCCGGGGCCGUCCCAAGGGCGUCCCCACCGUCCGCCGCAGUGCCCGAGACUCUCCCCAAGGCAGCACCACUACCUGGGUUGAGUUUUUGCUUCUAACAUCACUCCCUAAAUUGCUUACCUUUUUGCGCCCAAGGUCCACCUGCGUGCGACCGAGAGUAACCACUGAAGUGCUCCUGACAGGUGACAGACGGAGGGCAGGCUUUCUCAGAAAAACAGUUUGAGGAUGACCCCCUCCACUGCAACAAAGGACGGAUGAAGGAGGCCUGAUAGCAGAGGUGAAGGUUACACCCAAGACAACCAUGGUAGGCAGAGAGGACCCCCCGCCAGAAUGCCCACAUCUCAAUCCCUGCAACCCGUAACAUGAAUCUGUUACAGUACCUGGCAAAAGUGACUUUGCUGAUGUACUUAGUUAUAAACCCAAAUAGGGAGAAUAUCCUGGAUUAUCCAGGUAAAGCAAUCUAACGACAUAAUCCUUGAGAAGCAGACUAUUUUCUCCAGCUGGAGUCAGAAAGAUGAACUAGAAGAUGUCAGAAAGAUUUGAAGCCUGAGAAAGAUUGGACCUUCCACUGCUGGAGGGAACCACGGGGAAACCCUGAGAGAAAAUGCUGGCAGCUCGCGGAAGCAAAGGCCUGGCUGAAUUUACCAGUGCUUUUUAUUUUCAAGAAACAGAUUUUUAGAGGUAUAAGGUUUGUUACAGACAGGGCUAAAAGAAGACAAGACAAAAAGUCUUAAUGCUUUCGAAUUAAGGAAUGUAAAUUAGCCUCCUGUCUCCUAUGAAGUCAGAAUAAAGUCAAGGAAAUGAUAGGGUUGACAAAUUUGGCAAAUAAAAACACAGGAGACUCAGUUCAAACAGAAUUUUGAAUAAGAUUUUAGUAUAGAAAUACUUCAACUAAACAACAUUUUGUUAUUAGAAAAUUAAAAUGUAACUGGUCUUCCUCGUGUAUAUAGCAACUUAAAAAGUGACCCCCCAAAACAGUGGUUCUCAGCCUUGGCAGCACAUUGGAAUCUCCUGAAGGGCUUGCAGAAAUAUCCGUGCCCCGUGUUGCCUGGUAUAACUGCAUCAGAAUUUCUUGGGGUGGAGCCUCAGGCGACUCCAAUGUACUGUCAAGAUUGAGAACAAGAGCCAGGAGCUAAUGUGCACGGGUCUGGUGAACUAAAAGCAAUCUCCCCUAUAAGUUACAACCUGAAGUGAAGAGACAGUUUUCUACAAUAAAGAUCUCAUCAAAUAUUUACCUUAAUUUUGAAUUACAAGUGAAGAGUAUGAUUUUCAAUAUUUCAGGAAGAUCUUUCACUUUUUCUGUAAAAAGAUACACACUCCAUGAAUAUAAGAUAUCAAGUAAGUACUGACUUUACCUACUAGGUAGUUGGUAUCUAAAUAUUUACUAAUAUUCUCUUUCACCAGAUGUAACUGCUAGCUGAAUACAUGGUCAUUUCAAAGUACCUGUGUCAAUAGUAUUUGAAUUACUCUGCAGUUGAGUUUGAUAACGUCUGGCUUUGGCUGUAAUUUCCAGGCAAAACUGAAAUAAAAAGUAUGGUUUGGGUACUUGCAUCAUAAAUGGAUACUGGCUGUGAUUUGAAACAGCACUUUCCAAGCUGUGACUGUUCUCUGGGCUGCUAGCAUGUGUUUUACAUUUUUGGCCACCCUUCUUGUGCCUUCUUAUGACCUUUCUUUGUGGUAUAUGUGCCCUUCCUAUUUCUUUUGUGUCCUUUUGGUGUGAUAGACCUGGAAGAUAGAACUGGGUAGCUGAAAAAAUGGAAAACAAUGAAGAAAUACAUUUUUAAGGUACCAAAUGCAUUAAAAGUUUACUUGCAAAUGA